GAUGAAGAACGCAGCGUAAUGCGAUAAGUAAUGUGAAUUGCAGAAUUCAGUGAAUCAUCGAAUCUUUGAACGCACCUUGCGCCCUUUGGCUCUUCCGAAGGGCAUGCCUGUUUGAGUAUCGUGAACACCUCAACUCUCAUGGUUUGCCAUGAUGAGCUUGGACUUGGGGGUUUUGCUGGCCUUCGGUCGGCUCCUCUCAAACGGAUCAGCUUUCCAGUGUUUGGUGGCGUCACGGGUGUGAUAACUAUCUACGCCUGUGGUUUUCUGCCAGAUAACCUUCAGCGAUGGAGGUUCGCUGGGGCUCAUAAAUGUCUCUCUUCAGUGGAGACAGCUUUUUGGACGUUUGAUCUCAAAUCAGGUAGGACUACCCGCUGAACUUAAGCAUAUCAAUAAGCGGAGGA
rnacentral:misc_RNA from 1 species